rnacentral:lncRNA from 1 species
CGCUGCGGGCGGGGGGGGUGCUGGGCCCCGCCGGCUGCCGCACCCCACUUCCCGCCUUCGCCCCGGGGACCCGGGCCCGCGCCCCGGCGGGCCCUGCGCGCCGUUCUCUGGAACGGGACGGAGGAAGACGUGGCCUGCUGCUAAAUAUCUUAACAACUAACUGCGGGGAGAAAAGAUUCCUGAUAGCUUUUGCCAGUACCUGUGGUGUAAAUAUCCCCGCGGUGGCGGCGAUCAAGUUGCCCAGGGAGCAUCACUGGACCCCGAAUGGGAGGAGAGACAGGCCGUUCUGCCGCCUGCACGCUGGGAGAACCUGCUCCGGCGACCCCUGGAGGCGACUCAGCAGGCCUCUGUGUACUUGCUCUCUCCACGACCAGCCACCUGAGUCCUUGGUCCUGAGCCACCAUCGUUCAUUCCCCUUCGCCACUGCUUCCUGAUGGUCCCAAGCUCUGACUUGACUCGGUUUCCUGAUGACAGCCUUGCCAGCCUCAGUGUGUGUAACAGCUUCUGCCUGAGCUUUUGCUGAACUAGCCCGGGACCCAGACAAAGGGCGGCUCUGCUGGAGAACACACAGGACAUGGGAAGCGCCUAUUUAUACUCAAUUCUAAGGAUGUGGACGCAAUGCAAAGGGUACAAGUUAUGUUUGAGGGACUCCAGGGUCUAAGACAUGGUAAAAAGUCUAAAACUGGCUUCCCGGAGGCUGGAGGGAAAGAGGGCUAUGGUGCCAACACCAGAUCUCCAACAAAGCCGGGGUCCUGGUAGGAAAGAGGAGAGCUGCACAGAUGCACACGGCCAGGGUCAGCCUUAGAGGCACAGGCAGAGGCGCCUAGGAGCCGAGGUACUCCGUGCUUUUGUACACCGGGAACAGAAGACCUCAAACUCAGAGCCAUAUCACUAGAUAAG